rnacentral:lncRNA from 1 species
GUCAGGCAUUGUGCAUGUCAGGCACCGUGUAUGUCAGGCAUUGUGCAUGUCAGGCACCGUGUAUGUCAGGCACCGUGUAUGUCAGGCAUUGUGCAUAUCAGGCACCGUGUAUGUCAGGCACCGUGUAUGUCAGGCAUUGUGCAUGUCAGGCACCGUGUAUGUCAGGCAUUGUGCAUGUCAGGCAUUGUGCAUGUCAGGCACCGUGUAUGUCAGGCACCGUGUAUGUCAGGCAUUGUGCAUGUCAGGCACCGUGUAUGUCAGGCAUUGUGCAUGUCAGGCAUUGUGCAUGUCAGGCACCGUGUAUGUCAGGCCUUGUGUAUGUCGGGCACCGUUUAUGUCAGGCACCGUGUAUGUCAGGCAUUGUGCAUGUCAGGCACCGUGUAUGUCAGGCACCGUGUAUGUCAGGCACUGUGUAUGUCAGGCAUUGUUCAUGUCAGGCACCGUGCAUGUCAGGCAUUGUGCAUGUCAGGCACCGUGUAUGUCAGGCACCGUGCAUGUCAGGCACCAUGUAUGUCAGGCACCGUGUAUGUCAGGCAUUGUGCAUGUCAGGCACCGUGUAUGUCAGGCACUGUGUAUGUCAGGCAUUGUGCAUGUCAGGCACCGUGUAUGUCAGGCACCGUGCAUGUCAGGCACCGUGUAUGUCAGGCACUGUGUAUGUCAGGCAUUGUGCAUGUCAGGCACCGUGCAUGUCAGGCACGGUGUAUGUCAGGCACCGUGUAUGUCAGGCACUGUGCAUGUCAGGCAUUGUGCAUGUCAGGCACCGUGUAUGUCAGGCACCGUGUAUGUCAGGCAUUGUGCAUGUCAGGCAUCGUGUAUGUCAGGCACCGUGUAUGUCAGGCAC